rnacentral:tRNA from 1 species
GUGGCUCAAAGAGUAGGGCGCCAGCCUCAUAUGCUGGAGGUGGUGGGUUCAAACCCAAUC